CGCCAGGGAAGUCCCUACAUGAUUUUACAUGUGAUUUGAACCAGCAAAAUCAUACUUUAACGAAGGGGCUCCGGUAGGGGGGACCUUGCGGAGCUCAGCACUUCUCAGACCCCUGGAAAAGCCCGAGCGUCUGCCCUAUAAACAGUCCCUCGGGUAUGCCCCACAGGGAUCCACUUCCUCAGGAGCUGGGACUGCUCCAGCUACUGCGGCCGCCUCCCCAGGGGCUCCGGGAAGUGAGAUGUCCUCCCGCCGUGCUCGCUGGGUGAUGCAUCCCCUGGGGUGUGUCCACAUUUGAAUGCACGGCUCUCUCUAAAUUUAGCUCUCCGAUCCCACUGAGACUCACUGUGGGCACCAUCCUUCCUCUGCUCACCUGCCAGAGCUGUGUCAUUUUGUCAUUAGGAGAACCCAGUAGGGAGGCACGCAUGCAGAGAAGGCCACGGGCCACCACAGGCACGGACAGCCUCUACAAUCUGGGCCCAGUCCACAGAGAGCUGGCCUCUGCCUCCUGCUUCCCAGAGCCUGGGGUCGGUGGGAACCGCCUGCCUCCUGCCUACGAGGCUGGCAGCCAGGCGUGCGGCAGGGCAUCUGGCCUGGCCGACCUGGAGGUGGGAAAGAGCAGCGGGGUGGCUGACCCCAGCAGGUUGGGUUUAGGAGGCCCAGAGGCGCGACUUCAGUGCUGGGACCGGUGCUCAGGAAUCUACUGGGCUGGGCAGGCUGAUUAGCCUACAGACGGCGGCUGCACGUAGGAAUCCUGUUUCCGCACGUCUCUGCUGAUACCUGCUCUUGUCCGUCGUGCUCGUGUUUGCCAAUCAAACAGGUGAGAGAGGACGUCUUGUUUUAACGAGUUUUCCCCUCAUUCCUACCGAAUCGAGCAUUUCCACGCUUACUGGCAUUUGUAAUUUCUCCCCCAUGAAUCGUGUUUAUAUCCUUUGCCUGAAUUUCCACCGUUGUUUAUCUUUUUCGUAUUAUUAUACGGAGAUGAUGGCAUAUUGUAUCUGUGAAUCCCUUGCUAUGUAUGGUGUGAAUGUUUUCUCCAAGUCUGUGGGUAAUUCUUAACUGUAUCGUGAGUCGUAUAGGAAUUUUAAAUCUUGAGGUAGUCAAGCUUAUGUGUUCUUUAGUUUAGCCUUUUGCAUUUUCUGUGUCUUGUUUGAGGUCUUUUGUCUCUCCAGGUUCCAUUGUCUUAUAUUUUUGUCCAAUGUUUUUACAGUUCUGUUUUACACUGAUGUCUGAAAUUACUUCGGGAAAUGAUGUGAGGUUGAAGAUUAAUUCUGUUUUUCUUCCACAGCAGUGGAGAAGUGUCUCCACACCAUUUAGUGCCAUCAAUCCCUGUGGAUGCGAAACGCGUCCUUUCCUGUGUAUUAAUUCCACAUACGCUAAAGUCUCUGUUUCUGGACUUUUCAUUACGUUCGAUUGAUCUAUUUGCUCACGUCAGCUGCCCUCCCCGUUUUAUACCCAUUUGUUUUGUGCCCAAAAUGGGGAGAGAAUCACCACCCCCUCUUCCUCCUUUUCUUCCUUUCUUAUCUUUUCUGGUCUUGCCCUUUCUCUUCAAGAUGAAUUUUAGAUUCCGUUUGUCAAUAUCUCUAAAAAUCUAUGUUGAGCUUUUGAUUGUUGUCUCACUGAACGUGUAGAGUAAAAUGGAAGAAAGUCAGCCACGCACUCCUGAGGCUUCCUGUUUAGGACGGUAGCAAACCUCUGCUCCCUCUGUCAGGGCGUCGCAAUGUCUUGCAAGGAUGUCAUACUGUCAUCUUUGUAAGGAUCUCACACGUUAAUCAGGCUCACUCAUGUAUGUUAAAGUCCUGCUGCCGUUGUAAAUGGAAAAUUACUUUUCUAUUGAAUCUUCUAAGCAGUUACUGCUGAUAAUUAGGACCAUUUUGAUUUUUUAUUAAAAGUUUUUCUUUUGAUUUGAA